GGGGAAUAUUGCACAAUGGGGGAAACCCUGAUGCAGCGACGCCGCGUGAGUGAAGAAGUAUUUCGGUAUGUAAAGCUCUAUCAGCAGGGAAGAAAAUGACGGUACCUGACUAAGAAGCCCCGGCUAACUACGUGCCAGCAGCCGCGGUAAUACGUAGGGGGCAAGCGUUAUCCGGAUUUACUGGGUGUAAAGGGAGCGUAGACGGCUAAGCAAGUCAGAAGUGAAAGGCUGGGGCUCAACCCCGGGACUGCUCUUGAAACUGUUUGGCUAGAGUGCUGGAGAGGUAAGCGGAAUUCCUAGUGUAGCGGUGAAAUGCGUAGAUAUUAGGAGGAACACCAGUGGCGAAGGCGGCUUGCUGGGCUUUUACUGACGCUGAGGCUCGAAAGCGUGGGGAGCAAACAGGAUUAGAUACCCUGGUAGUCCACGCCGUAAACGAUGAUUACUAGGUGUGGGGGGAUUGACCCCUUCCGUGCCGGAGUAAACACAAUAAGUAAUCCACCUGGGGAGUACGACCGCAAGGUUGAAACUCAAAGGAAUUGACGGGGGCCCGCACAAGCAGUGGAGUAUGUGGUUUAAUUCGACGCAACGCGAAGAACCUUACCAGGUCUUGACAUCAAGUGACCGCCUAAGAGAUUAGGCUUUCCCUUCGGGGACACAAAGACAGGUGGUGCAUGGUUGUCGUCAGCUCGUGUCGUGAGAUGUUGGGUUAAGUCCCGCAACGAGCGCAACCCUUAUCAUUAGUUGCUACGCAAGAGCACUCUAAUGAGACUGCCGUUGACAAAACGGAGGAAGGUGGGGAUGACGUCAAAUCAUCAUGCCCUUUAUGACCUGGGCUACACACGUACUACAAUGGCGUUUAACAAAGAGAAGCAAAGCCGCGAGGCAGAGCAAAUCUCCAAAAAACGUCUCAGUUCGGAUUGUAGGCUGCAACUCGCCUACAUGAAGUCGGAAUUGCUAGUAAUCGUAGGUCAGCAUACUACGGUGAAUACGUUCCCG
rnacentral:rRNA from 1 species